UAAUUCAAAUCAAAACAUGUAUAUAAAUAAAACGAAUGUCUACACCAGAUAAGCACCUGAAUGACAUGUUAUUCUCCCUACAUGUAUAACUAGCACUUCAUUGUCAUAAGCGGCUCUUGACCUUCCAGUUAUCCAGUUUAUAUAAACAAAAGUUACUUCACUAGUUCCAAAUGUCUUCAGUUUGUAAACCAUAGUAAAACCAAAGAGAGGCUAGUUGAUUUCCGCAGGAACAAAUGUGUUGAGCCUCUCUCUCGCAACGGCGAGGCCAUUCAGCAGCUCAACUACUUUCAGUUUCUGGGUUCCAUCAUCUCCAAUGAUCUGAGUUGGAAAGUCAGUGUGGUUUUCACUGUCAAGAAGGCCCUGUAACAUCUUUACUUUCUCCACCAGCUGAAGAAAUUUGGCAUAAGAUGGAACAUUCUGGUCCAGUUUUACCGGAUGUCACCGAGAGUGUACUGACAUUCUCUGUCACCGUCUGGUGCGGCAGUCCCACCCGCAAACAGAAAGUGCUACUCCACCGGGUGGUGCGUGCAGCGAGCUGAUAUACUGACUGUGACCUGUGGGGUCAAUCUACACCCAGUGCACUCUGUGCAGGGUGAGCAAGAUUGUGGCGGGUGCAUUCCACCCGGCCAAUACCCUGCUCUGUCUCAUGCCCUCUGGGGUCAGGUAUAGACGCGUCCGGACCAGAACUUCCCGGUUGAUAUACAGGUUGUUUGUGAAGCUAUCGCCUCCCUGAACUCCGCCAUAGCUCGUGGCAGGACUAAUACUUGAUGGAUGCGUCCUUUCACAGUCCACGAGGCAGUGUUCAUGUAUGCAGAAAGGCAGUGUGGAUGAGAAAAGGUUCACAAUCGCUUCAGCUGUUAUCAGCAGGCAGCAGGUGAGCAUACACGAGAUUUGUUUCGGCCGGCGACAGCAGAGGGUGCCUGAUAAAGCUGUUUGGUAAAUGGCGAUGAAAAUUUUCAAGAAGUUUCGAUGGACCUGCAUUGUGUUCAUGACAAUUCUUGGACUAGUGUCUGUCGUUUAUUUCUGUUCACCCUUCCACAACAUGACGGACUCCUCUACUUUGGAAAAAAACAAUGUGGACAUUUGCUUUGCAUGGAGAAGGGCAGACAAACGAGCCUUGUGGACUGUACCAUGGUGGGGGCGUGCCUGUGAUAUGGAAAGUGACUGGUCAGAGAAGAUAUCAA
rnacentral:lncRNA from 1 species